GACAACUCCCUCAAUUAUAUAUUAAACCUACCAUAAAUGAACUGACCAAUAUUUAUAUCUACUUUCUUUUUAGAUGAGUCAACACUACACAGGAAACCAGCCGGUCGCCCAGAGCUGGAUGGGUCUAUUGUAACGCAAGCUCGGCCUGCCACUUAAUCUUGGGACCCAGUUGAAGCAACUUUUCCUGACAACCCUUGGAGGUUCGACCGGAGGUACUGCCAUCCGUCGCAUGCUACGGCGAGUGGCAACCAAUGACGUUCUAAAACGUCAUUGGUUGCGGGGCAG